rnacentral:lncRNA from 1 species
ACAGCAAUCGCUGCCACACUCAGCAGGACUGCAGCAAAUCAGGCUCAUGUGUUCUAGAGAAGGCCACAGAUAAGCUGAUGUAAUAGCAACUCUGCAUGGAGUUAUGGUCUGAAGAUCCGAUCACUGACACUUCCAGAAGCUCCCUCAUUUACAAAUUCUGAGAAAUCCCUGCCAAGACCAUCCUAUAGUUGACUACAGUCACCUCCACCCUUGAUCUUUGGAGACUGGGCCUCAUCAGCUAGAGUUUCUCCUGAAAUUGGUCAAACUCUCUUUGCUGUGGACUGCAACCUCAACUCAGUAGCAAUGUGCAUAGUUGAGACCCCUUGAGUCAGUCUCCACCUACUAAAGG